rnacentral:misc_RNA from 1 species
GAAAUGCGAUACGUAAUGUGAAUUGCAGAACUCCGUGAAUCAUCAAAUCUUUGAACGCAUAUUGCGCUUCCGGUAAAUGCUGGAAGCAUGCCUGUUUGAGUGUCUGUUCCCCCCACUCCUCUCCCUCGACUGCUGCUCGCUUGAGCAUUGUUUUCAGGGACGAGGGUCUGUGGUCGUCUAGCCGUCCGUAUAUAUACAAAACAACGGCGGCAAGUCGACUCAAGAACAGAGAGCCUUGCACAAGCUUCUCGCCAACUUUCCCACCGUGGUAAUACCAUUACGAUGCGGAAAACAGAGUAACUGCUGCAACCCAAGGCGACGACAAGUACGGAUCGGCGCGCGGCGCUGAAAUCUGAACAACUCUCGGAUCUCAAAUCAGACAAGAGGACCCGCUGAAUUUAA